rnacentral:rRNA from 1 species
GAUGAACGCUGGCGGCGUGCUUAACACAUGCAAGUCGAACGGAGAAGGCGGAGCUUGCUCUGCUGGAUCAGUGGCGAACGGGUGAGUAACACGUGAGCAAUCUGCCCCUGACUCAGGGAUAAGCGCUGGAAAAGGCGGCUAAUACUGGAUACGAGCUGCGAAGGCAUCUUCAGCAGCUGGAAAAAAGGUCGGUCAGGGAGGAGCUCGCGGCCUAUCAGCUUGAUGGUGAGGUAAUGGCUCAGCAAGGCGUCGACGGGUAGCCUGCCUGAAAGGGUGACCGGCCACAGUGGGACAGGGGAGCGGCCAGUAGGGCUACGGGAGGAAGGGGUGAGGGAUAUUGCACGAAGGGCGACGGGCUUAAGGAGCAACUCCGCGUGGGAGACGACUGUUUUCGGGUUGGAAACAUCUUGUAGCAGGGAAGGAGCGAAAGGGACGUAACCAGCAGAAAAAGCGCCGGCAAACUACG